AUCGCUUCUCCGCCUUCUGGCUAAAAUCAUGUGUGGUAUCUGUUCUUGUCAGCUUAAUAUCUGGCAUGCUGGGCAUUGCCUGGCACCAAUAUUAAAAUGAUUAUGUACUUCCCGAUUUUACACCGAAGCUUGCUUCAUUUGACUCACAGAUUGUCCCAGACUUAGACUGCCAUUGGGUACAGUCCCCCAAAA